UGAGCAAUCUGCCCUUCUCAUCGGAAUAAGCGUUGGAAACGACGUCUAAUGCCGAAUACGACCUCCUUUCGCAUGAUCGGAGGUGGAAAGCUCCGGCGGAGAAGGAUGAGCUCGCGGCCUAUCAGCUAGUUGGUGUGGGUAACGCCCACAAGGCGACGACGGGUAGCCGGCCUGAGAGGGUGACCGGCCACACUGGGACUGAGACACGGCCCAGACCUCCGUACGGGA
rnacentral:rRNA from 1 species